AUUGAACGCUGGCGGCAGGCCUAACACAUGCAAGUCGAACGAGUGGCGGACGGGUGAGUAAUGUCUGGGAAACUGCCCGAUGGAGGGGGAUAACUACUGGAAACGGUAGCUAAUACCGCAUACCAUCGGAUGUGCCCAGAUGGGAUGAGCUUGUAGGUGAGGUAACGGCUCACCGAGGCGACGAUCCCUAGCUGGUCUGAGAGGAUGACCAGCCACACUGGAACUGAUACACGGUCCAUAUUCCUAAGGGAGGCAGAAGUGGGGAAUAUUGCACAAUGGGCGCAAGCCGGAUGCAGCCAUGUGGGGUGUAGGAAGAAGGCCUUCGGGUUGUAAAGUACGUUAAGCGGGGAGGCGUUACCCGCAGAAGGAGCACCGGCUAACUCCGUGCCAGCAGCCGCGGUAAUUC
rnacentral:rRNA from 1 species